CGGGACGGGGUGAGUAAUGUCUGGGAAACUGCCCGAUGGAGGGGGAUAACUACUGGAAACGGUAGCUAAUACCGCAUAACGUCGCAAGACCAAGAGGGGGACCGUUCGGGCCUCUUGCCAUCGGAUGUGCCCAGAUGGGAUUAGCUAGUAGGUGGGGUAACGGCUCACCUAGGCGACGAUCCCUAGCUGGUCUGAGAGGAUGACCAGCCACACUGGAACUGAGACACGGUCCAG
rnacentral:rRNA from 1 species